ensembl:snRNA U7 U7 small nuclear RNA
UAGCGUUACAGCUCCUUUAGAAUUUGUCUAGCAGAUUUUCUGGUCCUCACCAAAAGACCUCC